AUCACCUGGGGAUCUUGUUAAAAGGCAGAUUCUAAUUGAGUAGCUUUGGAGUGGGAGUAGAGAUUCUGCAUUUCUAACAAGCUCCCAGGUGAUGCUGA
rnacentral:pre_miRNA from 1 species